AACGCACGAGACCUGCGGACCUGCGGAGGGAUCAUUAUUAGAAAUGGCGUUUGCCAUCACAUCCGACCCGAGUGAAACCUUGUCUAAGGGACUAGCUCGACAGUCGGGGGAAUCAUGUCCGUUGUCGACAUCGAUGACCCACUUUGAUAAAACACCAGAUCACAAUGUGUAGCCUGAAACGGCGCUAACAAAAAGUUAAAACAACUUUUAACAACGGAUCUCUAGAUCGGAAGAGCACAC
rnacentral:misc_RNA from 1 species